UAGAAAAUAACCUAUAUGUGGUGGUCCAUUUUCAGUUCUAAGUGCCUUCAUAUAGGUUUAAGCAGGCUAUGUGGAAAUAGAGAAAUAAAGAAGCAGAAAUGUACUGAGUCACCACCCUGCCCUCCUUCCUGCUUUCCCUUUCACCCAGCGGCCACGUGCCUAUCAGUAGGAGCCCCCUCAACUACCCUCUCCUCACCCCACCAAAGAAUUUAGUUUAGGCUAGCUUGCAACAUAAAUAAUUAUACCCUUUCUUAUCAGCUACGUGCAGCCACCAGGGCCAUAGUCAAAUGUUUGAAGAGUCCUGAGACAGUUGCAAUGCAUGGUGGGCUGCAAUAAAAUGCAGCAGAAAGAUCCUAAAGAACAGACUUGAAAUCUUAAUCCAACGACCAAUAGGUGAUGUCCAGGAAGAUCGUAACCCCAUUUACUCAGUCAAUGAGGAACUGGGGGAGGGACCUGCGCACUAGGGGAUAAAUUGCUUGUUGAAACUCUGCUGGGGGUGGCUGCAUGCCAGCCAGACACCCAGUCUUGCAAGACUGUCAUUGAAAAUCUCCGUUUUGCUGUUCUCCGGGUCUCUGCGUCCAGUCUUUGUGUUUGGACGGACCUGCCGGGCCAUCUUUCUGCAAGAAGAUAAAGGAAGACCAGGAGUGCCUGCCGAACUCCUAUGGAGGAAGUCUAGGAGAGGAAGGGGUAGGACCAAGGGCACUGCUGUGGGCUGAAGGGAGGAAGAUGGUGUCUGCAAACCAGGAAGCAGCCUUGCCAGACACAGGAUUGGCCACAACCUUGACCCCAGACUUCCAGCCUCCAGAACUGAAGGACUGAGUUCAUUUUCAGCGUGUCUGGCUUUUCCAUUUCUGUGGCCUGGGAAGGAAUUUCCCUGCACAGGCUCUCUUGCCUGCCACCAUGUAAGACCUGCCUCUGCUCCUCCUUCACCUUCCGCCAUGAUUGUGAGGCCACCCCAGCCAUGUGGAACUGUCAAGAGGCUGGGAGGUGCCCUCUGCCUUUCAAGAUCAGAGAGUAGCUGAUCCCCCUCCUGCCGUCAUUUAUGGACUGAAUAACCACAGAGAGUGUGAGGCCGGCGGAAACUUGGCAGUGCCUGUUUGUCAUUGUCAGUUUCAAAUACUUUUUAAUUUUGAAUAGUUGUAGAUUUUCAGAAGGGUUAUGAAGAUUGUGCAGGCAGUUUCUGCAAGCUGCUGCUAAUUUCCCUCAGCUUCCACGUCUUCGCUGCCAUGGUCCACCUGCAGCAGCCAAGAAAGCCGCGUUGCAUCGCCACGAGCUAAACUCCAGCCUUCGGAUUUCAGAGCUUCCAUCCAUGUCCUCUCUCUGCUGUGACCCCACCUGGGGUGCCACGUCGUGUCUGAUCCUCCUGUGUCCUCGGCUUCUCUGGUCUGUGACAUUUCUGUCUCUCCUUUGCCAUGACCCUGGCAGUGUGGAGGAGACUGUUGGGCACCCUGUGGAUGCCCCUCAGUCUGGGUUCAUCUGUCCUUUUCCUCAUGGUUAGCCUGAGGUGGUGGGCUUCCGCAAAUAAUACCAAGGAGGUGAAAUGUUCUUCCCCUCACGGCCUCUCAGGGGCAUAGAACAUCCUCUUGACUUCACAGGUGGCGUUAACCCGAUCGCUUGUGUGAAAAUAACGCAUCGGGAGGCACUAGGCUGAGGGCUUCAGUACCUCAGAAGCAAACCCAGUUCCUGCACACAGAAACCCCAUUCAGGGUAAGGGGUCCUGUCCUAGGAAAGAAAAUUCAAGUUUAAACAGAAACUGCCAGCUAACCUCAAAGCAGAGGCCGUGUGACUGCUGUUUCACUUCAAUCCAUCCUUUUUCUGUUCUUCCUUCCAAGAACACUGAUGAAGGUUUUCCUUGUGCUCCUUGGUAGAGCCCAAACUGCUGUAGUUCAGUGCUGCCCAGCUCAUGGAUUCCUGUCUCCUCAAAUAACUCUUUACACUUUCACGUGCCUACGUUUAUCUUCUAACACUUGGAUCAGGUGGCGUCCGCCAGGUGUCUUCGCUGUAAAGUCACUGUCUUCCCUUCCACCGCUCCACUCUUUGGGAUGAGUCACGAAGCCUGUGCUACCUUCAGGGGAGGGCUGGGGAAGAGUUAAACUCCAUCUCCUGGAGGGGCUGCUACAUAUGAUCAUAUGAUGUUAUUUGGAGUAAGAAAGAUUUGCCUCUUCUCCAC
rnacentral:lncRNA from 10 species